GACGUAGGGCGCGAGCGUUGUCCGGAUUUAUUGGGCGUAAAGAGCUCGUAGGCGGUCUGUCGCGUCUGCUGUGAAAACUCGGGGCUUAACCCCGGGCCUGCAGUGGGUACGGGCAGACUAGAGUGCGGUAGGGGAGACUGGAAUUCCUGGUGUAGCGGUGAAAUGCGUAGAGAUCGGGAGGAACACCAGAGGCGAAGGCGGCGACCUGGACAGGCACUGACACUCAACUACGAAAGCGUGGGGAGCAAACAGG
rnacentral:rRNA from 1 species